rnacentral:rRNA from 1 species
UACGGGGGGAGCAAGCGUUGUUCGGAAUUAUUGGGCGUAAAGGGCGCGUAGGCGGUCGUGACAAGUCACUUGUGAAAUCUCCGGGCUUAACUCGGAACGGUCAAGUGAUACUGUCGGACUAGAGUACAGAAGGGGCAACUGGAAUUCUCGGUGUAGCGGUGAAAUGCGUAGAGAUCAGGAAGAACAUCGGUGGCGAAGGCGCUCUGCUGGACCAUAACUGACACUCAGGGACGAAAGCUAGGGGAGCGAAUGGG